AGGAGUUCCAACAACAAUAUGAGGACAUUCAUUCUUCAGAAGCUCCUUGUGAAGUUUGAUAUUGACACCACCAUAGAAGACAGCAACCUUGAUAUCAGGUAAAUAUGUGCUGAACCUCUCAAAUUCAUGACAGAUCUGAUAAGCUAAUUCCCUUGUAUGACAUAGGACCAAAGCAGCAACCUGACCAGGAACAGGUUCAAUCUGCUGCAGAGUCGAAAGAACAAAAACAGCAGUUUUGCCCAUUCCAGAUUUGGCUUGACAAAUAACAUCCAUACCCAGAAUAGCUUGUGGAAUACACUCAUGUUGCACUUCAGAGGGAUGCUCAAACCCUGAAUCCACAAUAGCCCGCAGUAGCUCUGGCUUUAAAAGAAAGUCUCUGAAUCCAGAACUGUGAAUUCCAACAUAACCCUUCUUGGCAGAUUCGCCGUUAACUUUUCCAUUAACGGAAUCUGGGGCCUUCUCAUCAUCUUCUUCGUAGUCGAGAAGUUCUUCCUCGUAAGCUUCGUUCUCCUUUGUAUCUCCCAUCUUAGCUACUUUACAGUUGGACACUGCCGGAAAAGCUGAGUUCUUGCGGCGAAUUAGGGUUAGGGUUUGGAGCGUCUGCAGAAAAAAAUGUUAGUAGAACUAAAAAGUGUGUGAUAAGUAUCUUCCUCGUAAGCUUCGUUCUCCUUUGUAUCUCCCAUCUUAGCUACUUUACAGUUGGACACUGCCGGAAAAGCUGAGUUCUUGCGGCGAAUUAGGGUUAGGGUUUGGAGCGUCUGCAGAAAAAAAUGUUAGUAGAACUAAAAAGUGUGUGAUAAGUA
rnacentral:misc_RNA from 1 species